rnacentral:rRNA from 1 species
GAUGAACGCUGGCGGCGUGCCUAAUACAUGCAAGUCGAGCGAACGGACGAGAGGCUUGCUUCUCUGAUGUUAGCGGCGGACGGGUGAGGAACACGUGGGUAACCUACCUAUAGGACUGGGAUAACUUCGGGAAACCGUAUCUAAUACCGGAUAAUAUUUUGAACCGCAUGGUUCAAAAGUGAAAGACGGUCUUGCUGUCACGUAUAGAUGGAUCCGCGCUGCAUUAGCUAGUUGGUAAGGUAACGGCUUACCAAGGCAACGAUGCAUAGCCGACCUGAGAGGGUGAUCGGCCACACUGGAACUGAGACACGGUCCAGACUCCUACGGGAGGCAGCAGUAGGGAAUCUUCCGCAAUGGGCGAAAGCCUGACGGAGCAACGCCGCGUGAGUGAUGAAGGUCUUCGGAUCGUAAAACUCUGUUAUUAGGGAAGAACAUAUGUGUAAGUAACUGUGCACAUCUUGGCGGUACCUAAUCAGAAAGCAACGGCUAACUACGUG